rnacentral:piRNA from 1 species
UGGAUGCUAACCAACCAAGGGCCUCUCUGG